ACCUCAAAAAAUUUCCUGAGAAGCUGUAACUUAUCAUCCCUUCCCUGUGUCACUGACAGCAGCAAGAAAUUGUACACACGGAAGAAUACUGACUGCAAUUCUGAUGGUGUGGGAGGUGGCCACAAGGUUUACCGAACCCUGAACGAAAUACCUCGCUGACUGACUGGCAGGAGCGAAGGGUGCAAGGCAAAGAGCUAAAAGCAUUGCAGAGCCUCGCUAGCUCAACCAGACUUCGGGUCUCAGGUGGUGUUACUUCACCUACCACUGAAUUGUCUCAGCCCUAAAAUGAUAAAAUUACCAACCCAGUUGCCAGCACUGGUAAUCAUCUUGGAUUUUCUAAGCUGCCUCUUACCUCAGUGUCUGCAAGCGAGCACCUUCAGGGCCAUAUUGUUUUGACACUGACACAUUUGUAUCUGGCAGUCCUGGAGGGUUGAUUCAGUCAGCAAAUAGUUAAAUAAGCAAAAACCAACCCAAACUUCAGUAUUUGAAAUACAGCAUCUGAUGUAGCUCGAAGAGCUCUGAAAUAUCACCAGAGGCUGCUCUUCUGUUCAUCCUUCCGACUACUAUAAGUUUGUAAGUAUAACACUAUCUUCCUGCCACUUACUUAGCCACAUACCUGGGUAAGAGCCUAGUAUUACUUUUACCUGUGUAUAGCAAACACAAGGGCCAGGGCUGCCACAGAUUUUUCA